rnacentral:rRNA from 2 species
GACGAACCGAGCGAACGUUGUUCGGAAUCACUGGGCUUAAAGGGCGCGUAGGCGGGUGCUCAAGUCUGUGGUGAAAUCCUCCGGCUCAACCGGAGAACUGCCAUGGAUACUGGGUGCCUCGAGGGUGGUAGGGGUAUGCGGAACUAUCGGUGGAGCGGUGAAAUGCGUUGAUAUCGAUAGGAACUCCGGUGGCGAAGGCGGCAUACUGGACCACUUCUGACGCUGAGGCGCGAAAGCCAGGGGAGCGAACGGG